rnacentral:rRNA from 1 species
UACCGAGGUCCCGAGCGUUGUUCGGAUUCACUGGGCGUAAAGGGUGCGUAGGUGGCUUGAAAAGUUUGAUGUGAAAGCUCAGGGCUUAACCCUGAAAUGGCAUUGAAUACUGUCGGGCUGGAGGUUUGGAGGGGGGACUGGAAUUCUUGGUGUAGCAGUGAAAUGCGUAGAUAUCAAGAGGAACACCAGUGGCGAAGGCGGCACUCUGGGCUGGUACUGACGCUGAUGAGUGAAAGCGUGGGUAGCGAACAGG